GACGAACCGAGCGAACGUUGUUCGGAAUCACUGGGCUUAAAGGGCGCGUAGGCGGACCGUCAAGUCCGGGGUGAAAUCUUUCGGCUCAACCGGAAAAGUGCCUCGGAUACUGGCGGUCUCGAGCGAGGUAGGGGCAGGCGGAACUUCCGGUGGAGCGGUGAAAUGCGUUGAUAUCGGAAGGAACUCCGGUGGCGAAGGCGGCCUGCUGGACCUCUCCUGACGCUGAGGCGCGAAAGCUAGGGGAGCAAACGGG
rnacentral:rRNA from 1 species